AUUGAACGCUGGCGGCAUGCCUUACACAUGCAAGUCGAACGGUAACAGGUUAAGCUGACGAGUGGCGAACGGGUGAGUAAUAUAUCGGAACGUGCCCAGUCGUGGGGGAUAACGUAGCGAAAGCUACGCUAAUACCGCAUACGAACUACGGAUGAAAGAGGGGGAUCGCAAGACCUCGCGCGACUGGAGCGGCCGAUAGCAGAUUAGGUUGUUGGUGAGGUAAAAGCUCACCAAGCCUGCGAUCUGUAGCUGGUCUGAGAGGACGACCAGCCACACUGGAACUGAGACACGGUCCAGACUCCUACGGGAGGCAGCAGUGGGGAAUUUUGGACAAUGGACGCAAGUCUGAUCCAGCAAUGCCGCGUGCAGGACGAAGGCCUUCGGGUUGUAAACUGCUUUUGUACGGAACGAAACGGUGAGCUCUAAUACAGUUUGCUAAUGACGGUACCGUAAGAAUAAGCACCGGCUAACUACGUGCCAGCAGCCGCCGUAA
rnacentral:rRNA from 1 species